GGGCAAUUAGCUCAGAUGGAUAGAGCGUUGGCCUCCGGAGCCAAAGGUCGUGGGUUCGAAUCCCGCAUUGCCCA
rnacentral:tRNA from 1 species